GACGAACGCUGGCGGCGUGCUUAACACAUGCAAGUCGAACGGAAAGGCCCUGCUUGCAGGGUACUCGAGUGGCGAACGGGUGAGUAACACGUGGGUGAUCUGCCCUGCACUUCGGGAUAAGCCUGGGAAACUGGGUCUAAUACCGGAUAGGAGCCAUUUGUAGUGUGAUGGUUGUAAAGUUUUUUCGGUGUAUGAUGAGCUCGCGGCCUAUCAGCUUGUUGGUGGGGUAAUGGCCUACCAAGGCGGCGACGGGUAGCCGGCCUGGGAGGGUGGACGGCCACAUUGGGACUGAGAUACGGCCCCGACUCCUAAGGGAGGCAGCAGUGGGGAAUAUUGCACAAUGGGCGCAAGCCUGAUGCAGAGACGCCGCGUGGGGGAUGACGGCCUUCGGGUUGUAAAAUCCUUUCGCUAGGGACGAAGCUUUUUGUGACGGUACCUAGAUAAGAAGCACCGGCUAACUACGUG
rnacentral:rRNA from 1 species